UACGUAGGGUGCAAGCGUUGUCCGGAAUUAUUGGGCGUAAAGAGCUCGUAGGCGGUCUGUUGCGUCGGUAGUGAAAACUCAGGGCUUAACCCUGAGCCUGCUUCCGAUACGGGCAGACUAGAGGUAUGCAGGGGAGAACGGAAUUCCUGGUGUAGCGGUGAAAUGCGCAGAUAUCAGGAGGAACACCGGUGGCGAAGGCGGUUCUCUGGGCAUUACCUGACGCUGAGGAGCGAAAGUGUGGGGAGGCGAACAGG
rnacentral:rRNA from 1 species